rnacentral:RNase_P_RNA from 1 species
GCAGAUGGCUGGAUGGCCGCCGCCAAAGGAUAGGGGAACCUGUUCUUUGGGGGAGGAAAGUCCGGGCUCCACGGAAACACGGUGCCGGUUAAUGGCCGGCGAGGGCGACCUCAGGGAAAGUGCCACAGAAAGCAAACCGCCAUAU